UACGUAGGGUGCAAGCGUUAAUCGGGAUUACUGGGCGUAAAGCGUGCGCAGGCGGUGAUGUAAGACAGUUGUGAAAUCCCCGGGCUCAACCUGGGAACUGCAUCUGUGACUGCAUCGCUAGAGUACAGUAGAGGGGGAUGGAAUUCCGCGUGUAGCAGUGAAAUGCGUAGAUAUGCGGAGGAACACCGAUGGCGAAGGCAAUCCCCUGGACCUGUACUGACGCUCAUGCACGAAAGCGUGGGGAGCAAACAG
rnacentral:rRNA from 1 species